GAUAAUUGUAUUGAUAUUGUAAGGAGAAAUUCCGUCUUGGUCACUCAUGGGAGUUGAAGGGCUAAUCCCUCAGUUUACUUGAGGAUGAAGUGGCCUUUUCAAGAGAAAAUGUAAAAAGUGAAAAAGAAGUUUUGGAUAUGCACUGGUAAUGAGGUAGAAGAAGUUGACAUUGUCAGAGCUUGAAAGAGUUGAAGAGUUUUGACUGAUAACACUUCCUUUUUAAAUUCAUUGAAUCUCUUCAAGUGAAACUAUCUACGAAUGAAGAGACUGAGACAAACCAUGUUCUAAACUUGCAACCAAGCCAAAGUUUAAAGUGCUCAUCUAGCACUGUUUGCUGAGAAAUCUUUGUUAGGAAAUACACGGGAGUUAACAAUGAACAGUUAUACCUGUAGUUGUCAAUGAAAAAAUGGGUUGUGUCCUCUUGUACCAGUACACAAAGGAAUGAAACAUUAACGAACUACGUCAAGACUCCAUGUAUGGAUAUGAAAACAAUAGGAAUUCCCCCGUGUACCGGUACAUCAGGACAGCCCCCAAAAAUGCAAGUCAUGCUUAUUAUUUUGUGCUGAUUUAACAAACUGGGAACAGUUUUUGCCUCCAAGCAGUCCAUGUGAUUGGAUUUUGUCACAAUUAUUUGUAAGAGAAUCGUGUCAUACCUACAGCAGUUUUAUAAAAAUCAUGGACAACUGGAAAAAUAUGACAGCAUUCUGAGAUAAGUUAAAAAAACUUGACAGCAGUUCGUAGCCAGAAUAAUUUUUGAAUAAUUGAACCAUUUUAUCAUUUGACCAUCCUUUCUUUCUCUUUUUACCUCUCUUCUUCCAUUCUGCCUCCUGCCGAGGGCCAUACACUGGACCAUGCACCAUUUACUGGUCUUUGUUUGCACCUUCACCUAUGGCCCAUGUGCGCCUUUCUUUUAUGUUUUUCACUAAAGCAUGCACCAGGCCCCACCAGGCCUCGAUAUAUGUUUCACCCUGUCCUCCCUUCAGGUGUCCAAUCAGUGUAUGGCAUUAGUUGGUGACAACUGCCUGGUACCUACCAUAGAUGAACCAGGUCUUGGCUACAUGCCGAAAUCUUCAAGUGAUCAUUAUGUCUCGGAUGUUUUCUAUAAGACUACUGACUUGUACAGUAAUGAAGUGACUCUUUGGCUUGCCCAAUGCCUAUAGAAUAUCUGUUAGUUCAGAACCUCAGGUUACUUUCUCCAACCAAAGUCAGGGAGAACCUUUCCACUAGAGAAGGUCAAG